UCAAUGCUGAGUAAUAAAUGACAAAACUGUGACGUCUUGGAAGGUGGAGGUAAUGUGUUACUUGUGAGAUGUCAUCAUUCUGAGAUCAUCACUGCAGCCUGUCAACUCCAGAGAGAGAAAUGCUGGAUACAACUGGCUUCUUUUUACUGUGUGUGUGUGCGUGUGUGUGUGUGUGCGUUUAAAUCAUAAGCGAUUACAUGAGACUUCUUAUUCUUCUAAACUUCAUUUCAAUGUACACGUUCAAGUUCCUGUCUUGUUACAGAUGGAGAAGGGAAGGAAAGUAGAUUGAUCAAUAAUUUAAAAAAUGUUCUGUGGCAAAAGGUACAGGAGGCCAGGAAACCGGUAUGAAAAUGUGUAGGUGUGCUCACAACCAACUCUUCAAACGCUCUCUUAAUUGGCAGAAUUUACAUCAGAAGAUGAAAAGCAUGAGUAAUGUUCUUGUCAAAAAAGAACAUUCUGGACUAUGCCAUACAAACAAGCAAUAAAGGGAGGCUGGAGUCCUGCCGACUCAGCCUCAUGAGUAAACAUUCGUGAGGUCAGUCCCAGUGUGGAAACACAGGCGGUCCUCUUUUUUGCGCAUUGGAAUCAAUACAAAGAGCCCAUUGCUCAUUCCAAAGAGAACGGAAGAGUCUAGGAAACUGAGAGGAAGCAGAUCAUGUCCAAUCCACCUCUGAGAUUCUGAGCCAUGGUGCAUGUGGAACCCUAGGAUCCCGGUUUGCAGGCUGGCGGUUGAUUUGGAAGUGGUCAUCUGCUGUGCAUUUACCAGAUAUUGAGCACUUUUGCUUAUCUUGUCUCAUUUAAUUUCCACUUCAGUCCUGAAAGGAAAUAACAAUAACAGUCCAGGGUUUGGAAUCAGACUGUGUCCAAACUCUGGCUUCUCCAUGUUUCAGCCAUGUGACCAUGGCCCCAAAAGUCACUUAUUCAUCGUUUUUGAGAGAAUCGUGACCACAUUGCCAACGAAAUGUGCAGAGAAGUGACACAUGAAAAGCAGCCAAACAUACAGAAGACUUGAAACCUCUUUUGAACAUCCUUUGGGCUAUCAAGAGAACAUAAAAUCUUCAGGACACCAUCUAAAUGUGCAAGAUUGUUUGAAGAAUGUAGUGGAACAGUUGGGUCUUUGGUGUGAUUGGGCCAGAGUAUGAAAAAGUCUUACAAAAAUAAUUUUCAUGUAUUUCUUCUCUUAUCUCUAUAUAUUCACUGAAUAUCACCCUUUUAUGACAAGUUGCUAUUGACAACUUCUCCAUAAUCUAGGUAACUUUGGGCAAUAUUGGCCCUGAAAAAUUUAUAGAAUGCUAGUAAUGCAUGUUAAAUUGAGUAUUCCCAAGAGUUUCCAUACAAUAUUACAUGUAUAUUCUUUUAAAUAAAAGCCCUGUAAGAUUAAUCUCAAUUUGUAUCAUCUCAGCACUUCACCUUUUGACAUAUUGCCAUGUAAGUGAAUUAUGUUUGUGGGCAAAAAUGAUGAAUAAUUGAAUACUCAAAUGAA